rnacentral:miRNA from 1 species
GCCGGGCAGGGCGCGCG